rnacentral:ncRNA from 1 species
UUUAAUAGGCAAAACUAAUGAAAGUUAGUGACGCAAAACUACAGGGGCUAAAGAUUAGUAGUCUAUGCCAGCCAGCUGCCAA